rnacentral:ncRNA from 1 species
GCUCAUGCUAGUUAGAACAACACCAGUCAGAAAAACUGUAAGAAAACACUGUUGGCCAGACUGUCCUUUCUGCUGGAAUAGCCUUCACUGACAAUAGUACUAUGACUACUUAAAAAAACCAAACCAACAAAAUCCAACACUUCAGAGUGCACUCAUUGAGAAGUUUGAUACAUUUUUCUGAAGAAAUCAGUGUUCAAAGCUGGCUGGCCAACAGUGCACUCCAGCCAGGAAUAACAGAAUAGGACUUUGGCUCUUUUUUUGUUGUUGUUUUUUGGAAGCAGGGCCAUGAUUAAGAGAAAUGGUUGGGGGCAUUCAUAUUAUGCUACUUGAACUGGAAUUCUUGGACCAGUGCAAGAUGAACUAAAGCAAAAGCAUUUGCCAAGAAUAUUUUCAUUAAUCAAGAACAAAAGCUGGAGGCUUGUGGCCAACUCACUAUCAGGUGGCGUUACUCCCAUCACCCACCAGGAAGCUUGCAGGACACCCAAGUUUUCGGGU